GUAGUCAUAUGCUUGUCUCAAAGGUUAAGCCAUGCAUGUCUAAGUAUAAGCAAUUAUACCGCGAAACUGCGAAUGGCUCAUUAAAUCAGUUAUCGUUUAUUUGAUGGUACCUUACUACUUGGAUAACCGUGAUAAUUCUAGAGCUAAUACAUGCUGAAAACCCCGACUUCGGGAGGGGUGUAUUUAUUAGAUAAAAAACCAACGCCCUUCGGGGCUCUUUGGUGAUUCAUGAUAACUUCUCAGAUCGCAUGGCCUUGCGCCGGCGACGGUUCAUUCAAAUUUCUGCCCUAUCAACUUUCGAUGGUAAGGUAGUGGCUUACCAUGGUUUCAACGGGUAACGGGGAAU
rnacentral:rRNA from 1 species